CCUUAACCUGCUAAAUAGUUAGGCCAACGUUUGUUGGUCGUCAACUUCUUAGAGGGACUAUUGACUAUUAGUCAAUGGAAGUUUGAGGCAAUAACAGGUCUGUGAUGCCCUUAGAUGUUCUGGGCCGCACGCGCGCUACACUGAUCAAGUCAACGAGUUUACAACCUUGGCCGGAAGGUCUGGGUAAUCUUUUGAAACUUGAUCGUGCUGGGGAUAGUCCAUUGCAAUUAUUGGACUUCAACGAGGAAUUCCUAGUAAGCGUGAGUCAUCAGCUCGCGUUGAUUACGUCCCUGCCCUUUGUACACACCGCCCGUCGCUACUACCGAUUGAAUGGCUUAGUGAGGCUUUCGGAUUGGAUUUUGGCAGCUGGCAACAGCAGCUAGAAACUGAAAAGUUAUCCAAACUUGGUCAUUUAGAGGAAGUAAAAGUCG
rnacentral:rRNA from 1 species